rnacentral:rRNA from 1 species
GUGGGGAAUAUUGCGCAAUGGGCGAAAGCCUGACGCAGCAACGCCGCGUGAGUGAUGAAGGUCCUCGGAUCGUAAAGCUCUGUCGACAGGAAAGAUGGGCUCGUCGGCUAACAUCCGCCGAGCUUGACGGUACCUGUAAAGGAAGCACCGGCUAACUCUGUGCCAGCAGCCGCGGUAAUACAGAGGGUGCAAGCGUUGUUCGGAAUUAUUGGGCGUAAAGGGUGCGUAGGCGGCCAAGAAAGUCAACUGUGAAAGCCCAGGGCUCAACCCUGGAAGUGCAGCUGAAACUUCUUGGCUAGAAUGUCGGAGAGGGUGGUGGAAUUCCCAGUGUAGAGGUGAAAUUCGUAGAUAUUGGGAGGAACACCGGUGGCGAAGGCGACCGCCUGGACGAACAUUGACGCUGAGGCACGAAAGCGUGGGUAGCAAACAGG